rnacentral:rRNA from 1 species
ACUCCUACGGGAGGCAGCAGUGGGGAAUCUUAGACAAUGGGGGAAACCCUGAUCUAGCCAUGCCGCGUGAUCGAUGAAGGCCUUAGGGUUGUAAAGCUCUUUCAGUGGGGAAGAUAAUGACGGUACCCACAGAAGAAGCCCCGGCUAACUCCGUGCCAGCAGCCGCGGUAAU